AAACGAUUGAAGUCAGUCGUGUUCAUUGGAUUCAGCCGGUCUUCGGUGUAUUUCCUUUGAACGGGUCAACAUCAGUUUUGUCCGGUGGAUAAAGGUAGUAGGAAGGUGGCUCUUUCGGGAGUGUUAUAGCCUAUUGCCACAUACACUGGGGGAGAC
rnacentral:rRNA from 1 species